GUUUUUAUAGUGUAAUUUAACACAUUACAUUUUCACUGUAAAAAUAAAGACUUUUCUUUUAAAAACU
rnacentral:tRNA from 1 species